rnacentral:misc_RNA from 1 species
GUUGAAAUUGUGAGAAUUUUGCUUGAGAAUGAUCCAUUGGUUGCUUACAAGACAAAUUUGUGGGAUAAGAGUGUGUUUCAUGUAGCAUGUGAGAGAGGGAGGAUUGAAGUGGUUAAACAUUUCUUACAUAAUAAUAUGCACAUGUUGUUGAUGCUUGAAGUUGAUAUGUCUACUACUUCACUACAUGUUGCAGCUUCAUCAGGCGAUACAGAAGUA